rnacentral:rRNA from 1 species
AUUGAACGCUGGCGGCAUGCCUUACACAUGCAAGUCGAACGGUAACAGGUCUUCGGAUGCUGACGAGUGGCGAACGGGUGAGUAAUGCAUCGGAACGUGCCCAGUAGUGGGGGAUAGCCCGGCGAAAGCCGGAUUAAUACCGCAUACGACCUGAGGGUGAAAGGGGGGGAUCGCAAGACCUCUCGCUAUUUGAACGGCCGAUGUCAGAUUAGCUAGUUGGUGGGGUAAAGGCCUACCAAGGCAACGAUCUGUAGUUGGUCUGAGAGGACGACCAGCCACACUGGGACUGAGACACGGCCCAGACUCCUACGGGGGGCAGCAGUGGGGAAUUUUGGACAAUGGGCGCAAGCCUGAUCCAGCAAUGCCGCGUGCAGGAAGAAGGCCUUCGGGUUGUAAACUGCUUUUGUCAGGGAAGAAAUCUUCUGGGUUAAUACCUCGGGAGGAUGACGGUACCUGAAGAAUAAGCACCGGCUAACUACGUGCCAGCCGCCGCGGUAAAAC